UACGUAGGGGGCAAGCGUUGUCCGGAAUCAUUGGGCGUAAAGCGCGUGUAGGCGGCUCGAUAAGUCCGCUGUGAAAGUCCAGGGCUCAACCCUGGAAUGCCGGUGGAUACUGUCGGGCUCGAGUCCGGAAGAGGCGAGUGGAAUUCCUGGUGUAGCGGUGAAAUGCGCAGAUAUCAGGAGGAACACCGAUGGCGAAGGCAGCUCGCUGGGACGGUACUGACGCUGAGGAGCGAAAGCGUGGGGAGCGAACAGG
rnacentral:rRNA from 1 species